GACGAACGCUGGCGGCGUGCUUAACACAUGCAAGUCGAACGGAAAGGCCCUGCUUUUGUGGGGUGCUCGAGUGGCGAACGGGUGAGUAACACGUGAGUAACCUGCCCUUGACUUUGGGAUAACUUCAGGAAACUGGGGCUAAUACCGGAUAGGAGCUCCUGCUGCAUGGUGGGGGUUGGAAAGUUUCGGCGGUUGGGGAUGGACUCGCGGCUUAUCAGCUUGUUGGUGGGGUAGUGGCUUACCAAGGCUUUGACGGGUAGCCAGCCUGAGAGGGUGACCGGCCACAUUGGGACUGAGAUACGGCCCAGACUCCUACGGGAGGCAGCAGUGGGGAAUAUUGCACAAUGGGCGGAAGCCUGAUGCAGCAACGCCGCGUGCGGGAUGACGGCCUUCGGGUUGUAAACCGCUUUCGCCUGUGACGAAGCGUGAGUGACAGUAAUGGGUAAAGAAGCACCGGCUAACUACGUG
rnacentral:rRNA from 1 species